GGGGAUGACGUCAAAUCAUCAUGCCCCUUAUGAUUUGGGCUACACACGUGCUACAAUGGACAAUACAAAGGGUAGCGAAACCGCGAGGUCAAGCAAAUCCCAUAAAGUUGUUCUCAGUUCGGAUUGUAGUCUGCAACUCGACUACAUGAAGCUGGAAUCGCUAGUAAUCGUAGAUCAGCAUGCUACGGUGAAUACGUUCCCGGGUCUUGUACACACCGCCCGUCACACCACGAGAGUUUGUAACACCCGAAGCCGGUGGAGUAACCUUUUGGAGCUAGCCGUCGAAGGUGGGACAAAUGAUUGGGGUGAAGUCGUAACAAGGUAGCCGUAUCGGAAGGUGCGGCUGGAUCACCUCCUUUCUAAGGA
rnacentral:rRNA from 1 species